AUAAGAUACCCGAGUAGCAUUAUUUUGGUUCACGGUCGGUUCAAGCGACCCACGAGUGCUGGGAGAGUUCUAUGUUCAAUAAUGAACCGUGUAAUUUUUUAUAAGUUCCAGGAAAGUUCAGCGUUCAAUAAAUAACCGAACAAUUUUUAGUAAGUGCUGGGACCGUUCAAUGUUCAAAAUAAUUGUACGGAUUCAUCAAAGUUCUUUCAUUAUAAUGAAAGAAUCGUUGUAACGGUUAUAGCCAUUCAAAUAGUUUUAUUCACUUAUAUUGUUAUUAAACAUAUUAUCCCUUGAUUAGUACAUUAAUAAAAAAAACUUUAAAAUAAUAGUUAUAAAUUAUUUUCAUUGAGACUAUAGCGCAAAUUUAACAUACGAACUUUUGGCGGAAUAACCAGACGUGUCAGUAACCGUUGACCAACAGCUUUAGUUCGCGCGAUUUUUAUUUGUUAUUUAAUUUUUACUGUGACAUUUUUUCAAAUUAUCAACGAUCGUUUUACUCUCUUUACAAAUUAUGUUUUGAGACAUUCGCCAUUUUCACAGCGACUAGAUAACUUGUCAAGACUGCUCUUUAUCCCUGUUCACUCUCACAUAUAUAUUUAACUGAAAAGUUCAAUAAAAUAAAAAUGUUUUGUUGCUUAAAGUGGGUACCAUUAAAAGUUUCAGUGCAUAUACGAGAACAGCAUUUGAUUUUUGUAUGACAAGAGAAAUGGCCGCAAAUUUUAGUUUUUGUGACAACACCAAACAAGCUUUUAAUAAGCUUCACAUUUUUUAGGUAAUUCGUGGUAUGAACAUUAAACUGUAAUAAAAAUGCAAAUUGAAUAUGUUAAUAUAUUGGUAGCGCCUUAGUAAAUCAAACUAAGUCUGGAAGACUAAUUUUGAAACUACAAAGAAAAAAUAACUUUUUAAUUUAUACUACAUUUUUCAUAGAAAAACUUGAAUGAUUUUGGGGUGUCGUGUGUACAGAUCAUGCUAUGUUGGUUAAAAUGCUGUCAUUGAAGAAGCCAUAAGGUUUCAAACAAUAUAAAGAUUGUUGGUGUAAAUCCCAAACAGACUUACUUCUUUUUAUUACAGAGAAAAAAUACUGGUUAUAUCAUAGUAUAAUUAGUAUUUUUAUUCUUUUCUAAAUAGCAGUUAAAAAAUCAUUGUAUAAAAAGAAAUGAAGAUGAUGCUACAACCUGUAUACAGGAGUGAUCCUAGUAGUAAAUUUUAUGGGGGUGUGAAGUGAAUAUUGCCGACAAAGUACUUUCAUGGAUACAAAAUUCUACAAAUUAUUUUAAAAAUGCCGUCUUAUGAUUUUAAUAAACUUUGGGGUUCCCCACACUCUUCUAUGAAAUAGUCCCUUCUAUACAACAUGUUUUGCCUGUGCUCCGUCCAUCUGUUGUAUAGAUAUACUACAUGUUCAAUAAAUAAAGAAAAACAAGCCAAUUGUUACGAAUAAUGGGAACCCUUAUCCUUAAUUUUUGAAUCCUUAUGCUAUGUCUGGCUAAAUUAUAAUACCUGAACACGAAAGAACAUUUAACAAAAUAAUAGCUAAUAUUUUAAAGCAUUCUGGUAAUAAAGCAUCA